rnacentral:lncRNA from 1 species
CCUUAACUCAUCCAAAGACUACUCCACUUCUAUCUGAACUCUUCUUAGCCAUUGUCCCAACCUUAUAUCAGCUUCUCAUCACUUCUGAAGCUUCAUAGAACUCUUCUUAAGAUCUUCAAGAGCUUGUCCUAUUUAUGCACAAGCUCCAUUCUUCUCUUCAGUUCAACACUCCCCCUCAAGCUUGACUUUAGUUGAUCCUAAGUCAAGCUUGGAACCCUGAAGAACUUCCUCAUUAAAAACCUCACCAAGGAAAACCCUUUGGGACAAAACCUUGAUGAGGGAAAAAGAGUAAAGUCUCCAAGGCCUAGGGAUUGGCCAGUGAGUCUUUGUGCCUUACCAACAAUGUAAGGGACACAAAGACUCUGGAUCAUGGCCUCUACAAUCACCCCACGCCUUGUACUCUCCUUACUGCCUAAUCUUGG